GCGGGGGUAACAUAACUGAGUGAGUGUACUAAGGCUUCAACCCUUGGGUGUGUCGGUUCGAACCCGAUUCCCCGCU
rnacentral:tRNA from 1 species